rnacentral:rRNA from 1 species
UACGUAGGUGGCAAGCGUUGUCCGGAAUUAUUGGGCGUAAAGCGCGCGCAGGCGGUCCUUUAAGUCUGAUGUGAAAGCCCCACGGCUCAACCGUGGAGGGUCAUUGGAAACUGGGGGACUUGAGUGCAGAAGAGGAGAGUGGAAUUCCACGUGUAGCGGUGAAAUGCGUAGAGAUGUGGAGGAACACCAGUGGUGAAGGCGGCUUUCUGGUCUGUAACUGACGCUGAGGCGCGAAAGCGUGGGGAGCAAACAGG